AGGGUUGCGAAACCGCGAGGUGGAGCCAAUCCAGCAAAACUUCCCUCAGUUCAGAUUGCAGGCUGCAACUCGCCUGCAUGAAGUUGGAGUUGCUAGUAAACGCAGGUCAGCCAUACUGCGUUGAAUACGUUCCCGGGGCUU
rnacentral:rRNA from 1 species